rnacentral:rRNA from 1 species
GAUGAAUGCUGGCGGUGUGCCUAACACAUGCAAGUCGAGCGGCAGCGCGGAGAGUUUACUCUCUGGCGGCGAGCGGCGGACGGCUGAGUAACGCGUGGGAACGUGCCCCAAAGUGAGGAAUAACUGCCCGAAAGGGUGGCUAAUGCCGCAUAUGAUCCUCGGAUUAAAGGAUUUAUCCGCUUUGGGAGCGGCCCGCGUCGGAUUAGGUUGUUGGUGAGGUAAUGGCUCACCAAGCCGACGAUCCGUAGCUGGUCUGAGAGGAUGAUCAGCCAGACUGGGACUGAGACACGGCCCAGACUCCUACGGGAGGCAGCAGUGAGGAAUCUUCCACAAUGGGCGAAAGCCUGAUGGAGCAACGCCGCGUGCAGGAUGAAGGCCUUCGGGUUGUAAACUGCUUUUAUAAGUGAAGAAUAUGACGGUAACUUAUGAAUAAGCACCGGCUAACUACGUGCCAGCCGCCGCGGUAAAAC